rnacentral:rRNA from 1 species
UACGUAGGAGGCGAGCGUUGUCCGGAAUUACUGGGCGUAAAGCGUGCGCAGGCGGUUCGUUGUGUCGGCGGUGAAAGCCCCGGGCUCAACCUGGGAAUGGCCGUUGAAACUGGCGAACUGGAGUGUGGCAGGAGGGGGGUGGAAUUCCGCGUGUAGCAGUGAAAUGCGUAGAGAUGCGGAGGAACACCGAUGGCGAAGGCAGCCCCCCUGGGCUGACACUGACGCUCAGGCACGAAAGCGUGGGGAGCAAACAGG